rnacentral:rRNA from 1 species
CCUACGGGAGGCUGCAGUGAGGAAUAUUGGUCAAUGGGCGCGAGCCUGAACCAGCCAAGUAGCGUGAAGGAUGACUGCCCUAUGGGUUGUAAACUUCUUUUAUAAAGGGAUAAACUGAGGCACGCGUGCCUUUUUGUAUGUACCUUAUGAAUAAGGAUCGGCUAACUCCGUGCCAGCAGCCGCGGUAAUACGGAGGAUUCGAGCGUUAUCCGGAUUUAUUGGGUUUAAAGGGAGCGUAGGUGGGUGGUUAAGUCAGUUGUGAAAGUUUGCGGCUCAACCGUAAAAUUGCAAUUGAUACUGGCAGGCUAGAGUACAGUUGAGGUAGGCGGAAUGCGUGGUGUAGCGGUGAAAUGCUUAGAGAUCACGAAGAACUCCGAUUGCGAAGGCAGCCUACUAAGCUGCCACUGACAUUGAUGCUCGAAAGUGUGGGUAUCAAACAGGAUUAGAUACCCGAGUAGUC